AAUAAGUGCAGUUUUGCACUAUUCACGUUCAACGUUUGUCCGUCCGUCUUAUUUGAAAAAUUUANAAAAUUUCAAAUAAGACGGACGGUCAAACGUUGAACGUGAAUAGUGCAAAACUGCACUUAUU
rnacentral:pre_miRNA from 1 species